UACGGAGGGUGCAAGCGUUACCCGGAAUCACUGGGCGUAAAGCGCGCGCAGGCGGUCCUUUAAGUCUGAUGUGAAAGCCCACGGCUCAACCGUGGAGGGUCAUUGGAAACUGGGGGACUUGAGUGCAGAAGAGGAAAGCGGAAUUCCACGUGUAGCGGUGAAAUGCGUAGAGAUGUGGAGGAACACCAGUGGCGAAGGCGGCUUUCUGGUCUGUAACUGACGCUGAGGCGCGAAAGCGUGGGGAGCAAACAGG
rnacentral:rRNA from 1 species